UCUGUUGAGAGGGUUUUAUCAGCUCAAAAAAGAAACGUCUGCAUGUGAAUUUAUGAGCUUGAAAGACCAUUCACUACACUUAUAGCUAAGAAGAACAAAAUAUUCGGCAUCAAUCCGAUUGAUUGCCAAGAUUUGAAACGGUUGGGACUUGGUACUUCUUUCUGUGCGUUUCGUUUUGAGCUUUCAUCGGGGGAUUAAUUAGACACAUUGAAUAUUAGGCGACAGAGUGAAACUGGUUGUGUCCAUGAAACAUUCUCAGACGAUUGGAUGAGGGCGCAAGAGAAGGAUGCAUUCUGCACCGCAAUUUAAAAACCAUUGGAUUAGUCAAAAACCGUUUGUUUUUGUAAGGAAUGAUGAUGAUUGAAAACUCAGAAGACACAAGAGAAAGAAGAGACGAUGGCUGCUGAUGAUUUAUCCGAGGAAUCAUGGCGAGCUAUACUUUCGCGACAUAGGAAUGAAUUGAAAUAUCUCUUGGAAAACUGGGGUAAACUAGAAUAUGAGGACAAGGAAACGCCAGUUCAUGAUUAUUUGUAUUUUCUGGAUACAACUAUUCAUGAAGGCAGAACCAAAAGCGACGCAAUUUUUGAUUUGCGGAUUCUAGAGAAACUCCAAAAAUCAUUGCAACAAAAUAUUGAUGAUGGGGAAAGAAAUUUUACUGAAUAUCAGAUGCUCCAAGAGCUCCGCUGUAUGUUAGAGGAAGGUAUGGUCAGCCCAGAUGAUGAAUUUGGGAAAUGGAUUGAAGAGCAGCUACAGAAUGAGGAUAAGGAAGGAUACUUUAAUUAUUUCUAUGAGUUCGAAUCGCGUGGUGAAGAAAGCAAAACCAUGGCGAUUCCGAUUAAUGAAGAAAUAAUAACCUUCAAAGAAAUCAGGAACGAUUACCCGGAGGAAGUUCAAGACCAGCUCAAGGUGUAUUAUGAUGACCUAAAGAAAAUCGAUGACAUGUCACAAGACAAUGUAGAUUGUAUCUCUAAUGGUCCGAAAAUGUGUGAAUAUAUUGAGGAAAUUAUUUCCGAAUUGAGUCGUAGACAUUUACUGGAACCUGUUAAUGAUAUCAAGGAGGGAAGACAAGAUGGAAAGGAUGAUGCCGAGCUCGCUGUCAAAGAGAAGCUGGACAAGAAGAUUAUUGAAUUGUCAUCAGUUAGAUCAACUUGAUGACAUUUUUACAAAAUCAGCUUCAAGUAAACAAUACUUGAAUUUUCUGGACAAGUUGGCAUGUGUGACAUCUACGCACCAACUUGAGAUGAUGCAGGUGAUAUCAAACAAUGAAGAGUAGGACCUUGCACAUCAACAUUACCGGAAGAAGCAGAAGCAACAGAAUAACUACAUGCAUCCAAGUGGGCAAUGGAGCACAACCUCAACCAUUUCAGCAUCGAAAGAGAUUGCAGAAAGUUGUUGGAUUAUCUUAACAGGAUACCAACUUCUAUAUCUUGUCAAAAUCAAGCAUAAUGGAGGAAGUUAAAAAGGAAUUUGUUCUAGUUUUCUAGGUUUCUUUUUUAUUCCCAAAAGAUUGGCAAACAAUGUGCCAGACAUUUUAGUCAAGGAGGCAGCAAAACACUUGAGAUGUAAUUAAAAUUGGGAUUCUAUCUCCGGUCUUGUAUUAAUUUGGUUGGAUAAAUCUAAUGUAGG